UACGUAGGGUGCAAGCGUUGUUCGGAAUCAUUGGGCGUAAAGCGCGUGUAGGCUGUCAGGCAAGUCAGAUGUGAAAUCCCUGGGCUCAACCGAGGAAGUGCAUCCGAAACUGCCUGGCUGGAAGACGGUAGAGGAAGGUGGAAUUCCUAGUGUAGAGGUGAAAUUCGUAGAUAUUAGGAGGAAUACCGGUGGCGAAGGCGGCCUUCUGGGCCGAUCUUGACGCUGAGACGCGAAAGCGUGGGGAGCAAACAGG
rnacentral:rRNA from 1 species